AUUGAACGCUGGCGGCAGGCCUAACACAUGCAAGUCGAACGGUAACAGGAAGCAGCUUGCUGCUUCGCUGACGAGUGGCGGACGGGGUGAGUAAUGUCUGGGAAGCUGCCUGAUGGAGGGGAUAACUACUGGAAACGGUAGCUAAUACCGCAUAAUGUCGCAAGACCAAAAGAGGGGGGACCCUUCGGGCCUCUUGCCAUCGGAUGUGCCCAGAUGGGAUUAGCUUGUUGUGGGGUAACGGCUCACCAAGGCGACGAUCCCUAGCUGGUCUGAGAGGAUGACCAGCCACACUGGAACUGAGACACGGUCCAGACUCCUACGGGAGGCAGCAGUGGGAAUA
rnacentral:rRNA from 1 species